UACGGAGGGUGCAAGCGUUAUCCGGAUUCACUGGGUUUAAAGGGUGCGUAGGUGGUUUUGUAAGUCAGUGGUGAAAGCCCGGAGCUCAACUCCGGAACUGCCAUUGAUACUGCUUAACUUGAAUCAACUUGAGGUGGAUGGAAUAUUACAUGUAGCGGUGAAAUGCUUAGAUAUGUAAUAGAACACCGAUUGCGAAGGCAGUUCACUAAGGUUGUAUUGACACUGAGGCACGAAAGCCAGGGGAGCAAACGGG
rnacentral:rRNA from 1 species